UUUCUUUAUUUGACGAUCGACUUGACAUUAAUACUAAGCAGCGAAUGGCAAAAAAAAUAUUAAAAGGUUAUGAACAGAGCACGGAUGAAGAGCCAGAAGAAAAUGAAGAUUCAAAUAAAAAACUAAUUUUAAAAUAUGAAGAUUUAUCAAAUUUUCUAGAAAAAGAUCUUCCUUUUUCGUUGCUCAACAAUUCAUAGAAAUUAUUCGAGCGAUUUAAAUUAAAAUUCAGGUUUUUAUAUGAAGAUCCUACCAGAUAGGAAAUAAAUAAUGAAUACAAUAACGCCAAAGAAAUAUUAUCCUCCAUAAAAAUAGUAAAUGACAGAAUUUAACGAAAAAUUUACAAGAGAUGAAAAUCAAAAGCAAUUUAUAUUACAAGUGGUUCAACAAUAUCGCCAGCUGUUUUAAAAAAUAUUCAAAUUAUAAAAACUAUUAUUGUAAUAAACAAUUAUUAUUUUA